UCCAGAAAGAGCUUUAGAGCAGCUCUUAACGCACAACCAGACGGACCUAAAGACAGCAAUGCAAGACAGAAUAACAUGACUUGACCCAAAAUAAGGCUCAAUGGACUAUUCUACAGCACAUACCUAUUAAUCUUACAAUUACAAGAAGACCCUAGAGUCCUAAUUUUAAAGAAAAUUAAAUCUGUAGUUUAAUAAUUAAUAAGAAACAUGAAACUAAGAGUGUUUCUUAGCUCGGAAAAACAGAGAGUUUGAGGCCUGGCUACCUCGAAUUAGCUAUAGAUUUUUCUGUCCUCCUGCUUUUUUCUGUGUGUUUUUUAUGCUUCAUUUGUUGAUUUCUUUUUCAAUAUGGGAGGCUCUGUUUUUUUCUUCGUUGAAUCAAAAACAUUUGAGGUUUCAGUUGAGGAAGGCGGUUCUUAUUUCUUAUUUCUUAUUACGGAUCUUUGAGAGAGGCCAUACCUCAAUGCGCUCUGUUUUUAUGGGGAAGGAGAGUGCAAACCGAUUUUUGUUCCACUUGGAGGAAUUAAUUUCAAAGCAAUCACCUGGUCAUUAUGCAAGAUCGUGUGGAGAGGGUGAUAUUGUUUUCAUCCUUCAAUUGGGGUCCAACGCCCAUGGCACGUUUUUAAUGGUUUCUGAACUUCUUCAUGGUCGAUGGAAGGGUAACAUAGUGAUACUUGAGAGAAGGUUGGGUAGUGGCUGGCACGGCUUUGGCCUAAACCUGAGGAAAAUUUUAAAACUAGCUUCUCUUACAAGUCAGGGAUCGUUUCAUAGAAUACAGAGUGCACCAAAGACUGAGGCGGCGGUAGUGGUUGACAAACCUCAUAACCAUGGCGGUGCAAAAAAUAAAGGCAAAGCAACCACAGGUAUUCCCAAUAGAGAUGCCUCAAUAUCCUAUGUGACGGUGGUGGCAGGGAAACGGAAAAACACUAGUGGCGGAGGAGUUGAAGGAAAGAAUAAAUCUGCAUUGGUUAGGGUAAAGAUUUUGUCAGAUUUCAGCCGUAAUACCUGCAAGAAAAGUAUCCUAGUACAGAGGGAACAACUUGGUGCGAAGCUUUUGUUAGAUCUUAGCCGUAAUCACCGUGAUACCUGCAAGGUACGUACUCUAGGACAGAGGGAGCUUCUCAGGGCGAAGGAUUUGUCAACAAUAAAGGGAAUUGAAAGUGACGGGAUCAAAUCUGAGCUAUCCUUGGAUCUUUUUAUGCAUAUGGAGCUUGGGUUAGAUGGGAGAUGGGCUAUAGUGUGGUCUGAGGUUAAUGAAGUGGGCCCAAAGCCCAUUGACUAUAAUAAGCCCAAACAAAAACCUGUACCUUCGGUUGGCCAAGUGCCAAACCCAAAGCCCAUUGACCAUAAUAAGCCCAAACAUAAACUUGUUUUUAAAUGGCAGCCCAAACCUCCCCAGCCCACUAUUCCUCUCACCUUGGCACAAUAUCAGACCCACCCACACUCUAAGUACUCCUCGCAAGUUCCUCCCUUUCACCUAAUCACUUCGGCAACAACAAAAACUUCUCUGGUGGGUAAGCUAACUCUAACCCACUUGGAACUGACAUGCAUCGAGAUGUUUCUCAACAAUUCUGAUGCUUUCGUGACUGAGUCUCUUUGUUCCGAGGCUUCCGUGGAUGAGUACCUGUGUUCUGAUGGUGAUGUGGCCUUGCAACGUGACAUCCAACGAAUCAUCCAUGAGCAUACAGAUGACGUCAUCAAGAAAUGGGGGAAUUUCGAUUCAAAUUUCCUUGCCACCAAGAUAUGCCGUUGUCGGAGUGGAUGACUCGAAUUAGUUGGCAUUGGUAUCAGGGGUGUCAUCAGAAUCUAAGGAGAUAAAUUCAGAACUGGAAAAAGAGGAUGAUGUUAUUGUGGAGGAUUGGGUUUCAGAUAUUUGUUCCGAGGAUGCUUUUUAGUUUACUGAAUCUUCGCCACCUCUAAAUGUCAAACCACUGGCUUUCUCUUUGCCUAUGGGUGUUUUGGAUAUUGCUGAAGGGUCAGCAACUCUGGAUGUGGAGAAAUUGCUAGGUAAGGUCAAUUACUCAGAAUGGUUUCAGGAAAAAUUCAGUGGUUUUGAUGAUUUUCUUGGGACAUCCCUCAAAGGUUUGGAAGAGCCAGCAACCAAUUUCCUGUUGGCCAUUGAAGCUGAGUUAUAGCAAAGGGCUAUUAAGGAAAAAACUGAAAAAGCCGUGGAGAAUAUGGGAAUUGAGGGGUUUAUUUAGCUUUGUCAAUUAUGGUUCAGCUUCUUUAAGGCGCAUUGGUAAUGGUAAGGAAAGGGCUCUAAUUAUUUCCCAAUGAAUUUGAAGAUUUUAUCUUGGAAUGUUAGAGGUUUGAAUGAGAAGGAAAAACGGCUCAAGGUUCGUAAUUUUUUCAUUCUUGGAGGGCUAAUAUCAUUUGUUUGCAAGAGACAAAAUUGGAAUGGGUUACAAGAGGACUUAUUAGAAGUGUAUGGAGUUGUCCUUACAUAGAUUAGUUAUAUUUGGGUUGAAAGGGUGCUUCUGGUGGAAUUCUGCUCAUGUGGGACAGAAGGGUGGUUGAAAAGAUAGAGGAAGUAGUGGGGCAUUUUUCAAUUUCGUAUAGGUUCAAAAACGUCAGUGACCAAUUUGAGUGGGUUUCACAGGUAUCUAUGGUCCAAAUUUGAACAGGAAGCAUCAAUUUAUGUGGGAGGAAUUGGCAGGCUUGAACAGUUGGUGGAAUUUUCCAUGGUGUUUAGGAGGUGAUUUUAAUGUUAUCUGCUUUCCUUCGGAGAGGUUAGGGGCGGGAAGAUUUGCUCAUUGCAUGAAUGAUUUUUCAAAUUUUAUAUCUCUUCAUGAGCUAAUGGAUAAUACUUUGGAGGGAGGUCUUUACACAUGGUCUAACUCCACCUCAGCUUCUAGAAUAGAUCGGUUUCUCUUCUUUCCGGUAUUGGCAAAUUAUUUCACUCAUUUCUCCCAAAAAAGGCUUCCUAGAGUGUUAUCCGAUCACUUCCCAAUUCUUUUGGAGAGUAGGAGUCAUCGAGGAGGGCGAAUUCCUUUUCGUUUUGAGAAUAUGUGGUUAAAGGCGGAGGGGUUUUUAGACAAGAUGAAGUCCUGGUGGGAGAAUUACCAUUUUCAAGGGACUCCUAGUUACAUUCUUGUCAAGAAGUUGACUGCUCUUAAAAUGGAUCUAAAGAAGUGGAACGAAAUAGAUUUUGGCAAUAUCACUGUCAAGAAACAGCAAUUAUGGAGUAAGUUGAAUGCUUUAGAUGUAAAAGAGGACAAUCAACCUCUAUCUGAGGAGGAAAAAUUGGAAAAAGCGUCUUUUUGUGCUGAGCUUGAGAAGGCAGCCUUGUUAGAGGAGAUUAGCUGGAGACAAAAGUCCAAAGUGUUGUUUUAAAGGAGGGCGACUCCAAUACGAGGUUUUUUCAUAGGAUGGCUAAUUUUAAUAGAAGAAAUAAUUGUAUUGAAAACCUUAUGAUGGAUGGGGCUGUCUUCCAGCCAGGAUAGGAUUCCUGACCAUAUUGAACAAUUCUAUAUGAACCUAGACUCUGAGCAACAAGAGCAGCGACCUUUCCUGGAUGUAUUGGGUUUUUCAAGGAUUUCAGGGGAUAAUGUGGAUUGGUUAGAGAGACCUUUUGAGGAAACUAAGAUUUUUGAAGUCAUCAAGGAGUUUAAUGAGGAUAAAUCUCCUGGGCCAGACAGUUUUUCAAUGGCAUUCUUUCAAGCUUGCUGGGGGAUUCUCAAAUUAGACAUCAUGGCUGUGUUCCACCAUUUCCAUGUUACAGACCUUCCAUCCUUGUUAGUGACAUUUUGUGGCAGUAUGAAGAGCCUCAAUCUCCAAUAAUGUCACAUCAAUUGUUGAGGAGAACAGAAGCUUUGCCAGCAUUAAAGACAAAUAUACCCUCAUUUCAACAUUCACUUGAGGAGAGA